rnacentral:rRNA from 1 species
UAGGGAAUAUUGGACAAUGAGCGCAAGCUUGAUCCAGCCAUACCGCGUGUGUGAAGAAGGCUUUCGGGUUGUAAAGCACUUUAAGCAGGGAGAAAAAGUUAUAGGUUAAUACCCUAUGACCGUGAUGUUACCUGCAGAAUAAGCACCGGCUAAUUCCGUGCCAGCAGCCGCGGUAAUACGGAAGGUGCAAGCGUUAAUCGGAAUUACUGGGCGUAAAGCGCGCGUAGGUGGUUUGUUAAGUUGGAUGUGAAAGCCCUGGGCUCAACCUAGGAACUGCAUCCAAAACUAACUCACUAGAGUACGAUAGAGGGAGGUAGAAUUCAUAGUGUAGCGGUGGAAUGCGUAGAUAUUAUGAAGAAUACCAGUGGCGAAGGCGGCCUCCUGGAUCUGUACUGACACUGAGGUGCGAAAGCGUGGGUAGCGAACAGG